UCCGCGCAACUGAUAGUGUUUGUCCGUAUCAACGAGUUGCUUGUUUCAACGAAUUUUGUGUCCGUCGGAAUUCAUGCGCUGUGUGAAAAUUAAAUAUAAUGUGCAUUUUUAAAUACUUUAAUUUUCGAAUAAAAACACGUAAUAUCCUUAUGAAACUUGAACGUCCAGUUCAGUUCCCAACAUCUAGUUGGGAAUAUUGUUGUUUGUGUUGUGCGAGUUCAUUGCGUUAAAUGUUACUGUCAGUAACAUUGCGUGCCGUCGGAACACAGUCGGUGUUCACGAGCCGUCGGAACUCUGCGCUGCGUUAAAGUAAAAUGUGUUAAAUUUAUAAACAUUGCUGUAUUGGACUUGGUGCAAACAUUUCGCUAGUGUUAUAAGUGGAUCCAGAGAUUUUGAACAAGAUACACGCUAGAAGCACGCCACAAAUUAGUAUUUCCAUUGGAUUUAAUUUGUGGUGCGUAAGUUUCGAGUAUUUGCCGUGACUUGUAGCCCAUGAGUUGUGCAUUGGUGAGUUUAUAAUUCAAUUUAGUUUAAAAAAGGGCAGCGGUAGAAGUGACUCGUAUUCAGGGCACCGUACGGGGGUAGCGGUCGAAGUGACUCGUGUUCAGGGCAUCGUACGAGGGUAGCGGUAGGAGUGACUCGUGUUCUAGGCACCGUAUAAGGGUAGCAGUAGAAGUGACUCGGUUCAGGGCAUUCUACGAGGGUUGCGGUAGAAGUGACUUGCCUUCAGGGCAUCGUUUAAGGGUAGCGGUAGAAGUGACUCGGUUCAGGGCACCAUAUAAGCGUAGCGGUAGAAGUAAUAACUCGUGUGCGCGUAAUUUAAUUUCGUUUUUUUUUCAAUAUUGCGGUCGGACAGGACCUUACACAAACUUGACCGCGAUGUAUACAGAUGCAGAAUUUAAUUCUCUAUAAGGCAAUAUUUGUUCGUUGAAGGAGAUAUUCCUAAAACGUGAAUAAUUGCAAAAAAAAUGUUACUUUGUCCGGUUUUUGCGUCCUUGCGUACUUUGAUUUCGUUUUUUUAUUAUUAUUGCGGGCGGACAGGACCUUACACAAACUUGAGCGCCAUGUUUACAGAGGCCGAGUUUAAUUCUCUAUAAGGCUAUAUUUAUUUGUUGCAGGAGAUACGGUUGCACCGUUAGUAAUUGCAAAAAAGGCUAUUUUUCUAGUGUUCUUGUGCGUUAAUUUUUUGAUAUUUUUAAAAAUUAUUACUGCUUAUUGGGAGCGUUUAGCGCGGCGUCUAGAGAUGCGGAAUUAAAUUUUCCGUCGGGUGGUAUUUGUUUGUUUGAGGAAUUCAACCUGCAAUUUGCGAAAAUUUGCAUAAAAGAGUGAUUUUUUCACCCUUCGCCGUAAAAUGUUUUAAUUUUUUUGGGUUUGCAUGCGAUCUUUGCAGCUCAGUAACUUCAGGGUUGCAUCUAGAGAAGCGGAAUUAAAUUCUCCGUCGGGUGGUAUUUAUGUGUUGCAGGAAUUCGACCUGCAAUUUGCGAAUAUUUGCAUUAAAAGGUGAUUUUUUCACCCUUUAUCGUGAAAUGCUUGUAUUUUUAUGUGUUUGCACGCGAUCUUGGCAACUAAGUAACUUCAGCGUGGCAUCUAGAGAAGCGGAAUUAAAUUUUACGUCGGGUGGUAUUUGUUUGUUGCAGGAAUUCGACUUGAAAUUUGCGAAAAUUGGCAUUAAAAAGUGAUUUUUUCACCCUUUAUCGAGAAGUGUUUGUAUUUUUUCGGGUUUGCACGUGAUCUUGGCAGCUCAGUAAUUUCUGCGUGGCAUCUAGAUAAGCGGAAUUAAAUUCUCCAUCGAGUGGUAUUUGUUCGUUGUAGGAAUUCGACCUGCAAUUUGCAACAAAAUUGCAUUAAAAGGUGAUUCUUUUACCCUUUAUCGUGAAAUGUUUGUAUUUUUCGAGUUUGCAUGCGAUCUUGGCAGCUCAGUAACUUCUGCGUGGCAUUUAGAGAAGCGGAAUUAAAUUCUCCGUCGGGUGGUAUUUGUUUGUUGCAGGAAUUCGACCUGCAAUUUGCAAAAAUUUGCAUUAAAAGGUAAUUUUUUCACCCUUUAUCGUGAAAUGUUUGUAUUUUUUCGGGUUUGCACGCGAUCUUGGCAGCUCAGUAACUUCUGCGUGGGAUUUAGAAAAGCGGAAUUAAUUUCUCCGUCGGGUGGUAUUUGUUUGUUGCAGGAAUUCGACCUGCAAUUUGCGAAAAUUUGCAUUAAAACGUGAAUUUUUCACCCUUUCUUGUGAUAUGCUUGUAUUUUUUCGGGUUUGCGCGCGACCUAGGCGGCUCACUAGCUUCAGCGCGGUGUUUAGAAAUGCGGAAUUGAAUUCUCCAUCGGGUGAUAUUUGUUUGCUGCAGGAAUUCGACCUGCAACUUGUGAAAAUUUGCAUUAAAAUGUUCAAAAUGUUUUUUUGUGAUUUAUUUUUAUAGUGAAAUGUUUGUAUUUUUUCGGGUGUGCAAAAUUUCACUUUUGAGCACUUUUAGUCGCAUUUUUCGACUCCAUGAAAUUAAAUAAUUUUAAAUAUUUAUCUAAUAGAGAUUUAUCCAAUCUAGAAGUGACUCGUGUUCAGGGCACCGUACGAAGGUAGCGGUAGAAGUGACUCGUGUUCAGGGCACCCUACGAAGGUAGCGGUAGAAGUGACUCGUAUUUAUAAAAUAUAAAAUAUAAUUUGUGCUAUUCGGAAUUGAAAAAAAAACUGGGGAAAAGGGGCCGUACCGCCUCAUGUUUUUUUUGUUAUAAAUUUUUUCACUUCUUAUUUUUCCGAUUUUAAUACUUAGAUUUAAAUAUUUAAAUUAGUCGCGGUGUUGUAAACAUCAAUUAUUUAAUUAACUAAGGUAUACAGUAAGGUAUAAGUAAAAGUAGAUUUCGUGUAUGUGUGUUAUUUCAAUAUUGUGAAUUUUUACUUUCGUUUUCUCAACUACGUGUUUACCACUACGUUUGUGUAUAAACAACUUUUUUGUUCAACUGACGCGUAUUAUCGCUACGUACCUGGUUACGUGCAGCGCACACGGCAGUCGUUUCACCGCGUGGUCCGCGAACGCGUCUUUCCAAUCGCCACGCGUUUUCAGACUGUAUUCUUUUCGUCAUCAGCAAAAUAUUUGUAACGAGCAUGUGCAUAUAUGUGCAUAUAUGUGCAUAAUAUAUCUUAUACAUUGAAUAGUUUUUCGUUAUUUUUAUCGUAUUUACCUACUGUAUUACCACGGGCCGUCGCUUGCCGUCUGCUGAUUUGGAUGUUUUCCGCCUGUUUUGAGCAGUGCGUUGAACUAUGUGUGUUUUGAACUAAGUGUAGCAGUGGCGCUAUCUAGCUUAGAGGGUUGUGAUGAGGGUUGUUAAGUUUGUUACUUAGUAUAAGUUUUUUAUGUAUUGCGUCGCCACUCGUACUUCCUGCGCGGCGCCAUGAUGGGCCGCUGAGAGGGAGUAUGAGGGUGCAAAUAAAAGGGCCAGCCGAGAGCAUCUCGGCCUUGUUUCCAUCGAAUCGUCAUCGUGAGUUAUCUGUGAGUAUUUUUGACCCUCAGUGCUUAGUAAAUUGUGCGUGCCCGUAUUUCUUGUGUUGUAAUCUGUUCCGGACGCCAUCUUGCUUAAGUUAUACUCUGACUUCUUUGAACUUGCACUUGAAAAUCUAUUAAGUUAGAUCUCGCGAACAAGUCCUUCGCGAGUUAAGUAACCAUUGUUAAACAAACCGCGACAACCGCGUAAACACCGCCUGAUGUUUUAUUAAUUUAUGAUGAUGCUUCACCCGUCGGUUACCUUAUGCAGUUGAUGCUAUCAACUGAUAAAUAUAUAUAUAAAAAAAUUUAUUUAUUCUUUUCGUCAUCAGCAAAAUAUUUGUAACGAGCAUGUGCAUAUAUUUCAUAAACUGAAUUUAUGAAGAUGCCCUCUGGGCGAAACAUGUCAACUCAAAAAUAAAAUUGUAAAUCCAAAAUCACGUAUAAUGUUUAAUAAAUAAAUAUUUUUUAUAAAUAUACAACAUGGAUUACGUAUUCACCAAAGAAAGUAAUAAAUGAUAAAUAUAUACACAAUAUAUUAAAUUGAAAGUGUUGUAUUCUUGUUGCAACUUUUUUACUUAACUUUUCCGAUCAUUUUCGGGUUAAAUCUUUGAAUUUCUGUUAAAAUAUAGUUGUUUCGGUAUAAAUUUCUCUCGUCACGAUGUGAAUGUUGAUCAUAUUUGUAGUUUUUAAAACUUUCCUUUUGUAACACCCUGUAUAUUUGUUUUCCUAACAGUACUUUAGUAAAUCGCCUUUAUUUGCGAGUUGUGAGUGUUCUUUCUUUUAAAUUUGGGAUUUUCCUUCUGAAACACCCUGAAUAUUUGCUUUUCUUUGUGUCCGUGAAAACUCUCCUUCAGUUGUGGUUUUAAAGUUUUUUUUUGCAUUUUAAGUUUUUUGUAACACCCAGUUUAUUAGUUUCCCGGAGCAUCGGGUGAAAACGAGCAAUAUUUGUAGUCUUUAGAUGUUUUUCUUUUUGAUGGUUGAUUUUUCUAUUUGUGACACCUUGUAUAAUCGUUUUUCUUCACAUCCCUGAAAAUUUUGCUUUGACUGCUAUUAGAAUUUAACUUCUUGCACUUUGAAUUUUCUUUUUGUAACGCCCUGUAUAUUUGUUUCCCAGGGUAACCGUGGAAAACUAGCGAUAUUUGAAUGUUUAGAUGUUUUCCUGUCUGUACUUAAUUUUCUGUAACCCCCCGGUAUAUUUGUUUCCAUUUUCAAUCACGAAGAAAAUUGACUUUGCUAAUUGCUUUAUCCCGCUAGAACUUCACUUAGUGAUACGCGAUUGUUUGCGCGGCUAAGCAGGUCGUAAUUCCAAUUUCAAUAUGGCGGCAUGAAUUCUGUUGACUUGUAUUAUUUUACAUUGUAUUUAUUAAUAAAGAAAUGUUAAGAAA